rnacentral:rRNA from 1 species
CCUACGGGUGGCAGCAGUGAGGAAUAUUGGUCAAUGGGCGCGAGCCUGAACCAGCCAAGUAGCGUGAAGGAUGACUGCCCUACGGGUUGUAAACUUCUUUUAUAAAGGAAUAAAGUGAGGCACGUGUGCCUUUUUGUAUGUACUUUAUGAUUAAGGAUCGGCUAACUCCGUGCCAGCAGCCGCGGUAAUACGGAGGAUCCGAUCGUUCUCCGGAUUUAUUGGGUUUAAAGGGACCGUAGAUGGGUUGUUAAGUCAGUUGUGAAAGUUUGAGGCUCAACCGGAAAAUUGCCAAUGAUACUGGCAGUCUAGAGUACAGCUGAGGGAGGCGGAAUUCGUGGUGUAGCGGUGAAAUGCGUAGAUAUCACGAAGAACUCCGAUUGCGAAGGCAGCUUACUAAGAUGCAACUGACAUUGAUGCUCGAAAGUGUGGGUAUCAAACAGGAUUAGAUACCCGUGUAGUC